GAGUGGCGAACUGGUGAGUAACACGUGGGUAACCUGCCCCGAAGCGGGGGAUAACAUUUGGAAACAAGUGCUAAUACCGCAUAAUUAGUUGGAACCGCAUGGUUCCAACUUGAAAGAUGGCUCUGCUAUCACUUUGGGAUGGACCCGCGCCGUAUUAGUUAGUUGGUGAGAUAAAAGCCCACCAAGACGAUGAUACGUAGCCGACCUGAGAGGGUAAUCGGCCACAUUGGGACUGAGACACGGCCCAGACUCCUACGGGAGGCAGCAGUAGGGAAUCUUCCACAAUGGACGAAAGUCUGAUGGAGCAACGCCGCGUGAGUGAUGAAGGUUUUCGGAUCGUAAAACUCUGUUGUUAAAGAAGAACAAGUGUUAGAGUAACUGUUAACACUUUGACGGUAUUUAACCAGAAAGCCACGGCUAACUACGUGCCAGCAGCCGCGGUAAUACGUAGGUGGCAAGCGUUGUCCGGAUUUAUUGGGCGUAAAGCGAGCGCAGGCGGUUUUGUAAGUCUGCUGUGAAAGCCCUCAGCUCAACUGAGGAAGUGCAGUGGAAACUACAAAACUUGAGUACAGAAGAGGAAAGUGGAACUCCAUGUGUAGCGGUGAAAUGCGUAGAUAUAUGGAAGAACACCAGUGGCGAAGGCGGCUUUCUGGUCUGUUACUGACGCUGAGGCUCGAAAGCAUGGGUAGCGAACAGGAUUAGAUACCCUGGUAGUCCAUGCCGUAAACGAUGAAUACUAGGUGUUGGAGGGUUUCCGCCCUUCAGUGCCGCAGCUAACGCAUUAAGUAUUUCCGCCUGGGGAGUACGACCGCMAGGUUGAAACUCAAAGGAAUUGACGGGGGCCCGCMCAAGUGGUGGAGCAUGUGGUUUAAUUCGAUGCUACGCGAAGAACCUUACCAGCUCUUGACAUCUUCUGCCAACCCAAGAGAUUGGGCGUUCCCUUCGGGGACAGAAUGACAGGUGGUGCAUGGUUGUCGUCAGCUCGUGUCGUGAGAUGUUGGGUUAAGUCCCGCAACGAGCGCAACCCUUAUUAUUAGUUGCCAGCAUUUAGUUGGGCACUCUAGUGAGACUGCCGGUGAUAAACCGGAGGAAGGUGGGGACGACGUCAAAUCAUCAUGCCCCUUAUGAGCUGGGCUACACACGUGCUACAAUGGAUGGUACAACGAGUCGCGAAACCGCGAGGUCAAGCUAAUCUCUUAAAGCCAUUCUCAGUUCGGAUUGCAGGCUGCAACUCGCCUGCAUGAAGUUGGAAUCACUAGUAAUCGUGGAUCAGCAUGCCACGGUGAAUACGUUCCCGGGCCUUGUACACACCGCCCGUCACACCAUGAGAGUUUGUAACACC
rnacentral:rRNA from 2 species